AAGUGCCCUGAGAUGAAAUGAGGGAACACAAAUUAAUUUAAAUGUCUGUAAUUCCACAAAUACAAUAACAAAAUAAAAAUAAAACUGAUAGAAUGAUGUAGAAUAUAAUGUAGAAUAUAAUGUAGAACCACUCAAGCAAGGAAUAUAAAUGGAGUAGAUAAUUAAAUCUUUUUAAGAUUAUAAUGCCCAAUUACUUUGUGAGACACAUUAUUUUAAACUUUGCUCUGAUUGAGUUUGGAUAUUUAGGGUGUAAAGCUCUGCUGGGUUCAAGAGUCAAAAGCAGACGAGGCAUAACAGAGUGCAAUAUAGUUGCCAAAAUACAAAUGAUAUGCAUGUAUUCACAGCUGUUUGCUUCUGUGCAUUUGGCUGAUCUGAACAUAACAGAGAGGUCCUGCCCUUCUCGUAUGAAUUUGCACAUGACAAAUGAAAUCACAUGUCAAAUACUAAUAGACCCGAGCAAGAUAAAAACAUACAUGGGGGAAUUAAAUCAGCUACAUGACAGCGAAUAUGUAACUUACAACACAGAUGAAGGGAGUGAUGUAACACCAGCAGUACUUCAUGAAUGAGUGUGGCCGAUAGCCGAUCAUGUCUGUGAUGUUGCCAUAAAAACGGUCUGCACCUUUAGGCAACAGGAGAGACAUUACAGAGGUCAGUCUCAUAUUUUAUAACCAUACCAAACAUGUAUUCAGUGACCUUGUUAAAUAUAGUUGUAAUCAAAAUUUCUUAAAAUCUGAAAAGCUUUGUCUUUUUUGUCACAACAUAGUCUGUAGGUGGUUUGAUGCAUUCUCUAUGACUUAAUGUUGUCAAAAAUACAGAGAUUUUUCAAUACAUAUUCAGAUUCACUCCUCAUUUUCUGUAGUAUUGAUACUAGCAGUGCUUUUUCAAUAUCCGUUCUUUCUGACAGCGAGUUGACCCACACCACAGUGACCCGAAAGAUGGUGAACUACGUCUGGGCAGGGCGAAGCCAGAGAAAACUCUGGUGGAGGCCUGUAGUGGUCCUGAUGUGCAAGUCGUUUGUCCGACCUGGGUAUAGGGGCGAAAGACACAUCAAACCAUCUAGUAGCUGGUUCCCUCCCAAGUUUCCUUCAGGAUAGCUGGUGCUCAGAGUUUCGCAGUUUUAUCUGGUCAAGCGAAUGAUUAGAGGUCGAUCUCAACCUUUUCUCAAACUUUAAAUGGAUGAGAAGCCAGGCUUGCUGGCUUGGAGCCAUGUGUGGAAUGUGAGCCACAUAGUGGGCCACUUUUGGUGAACUGAACUGGUGCUGCAGGAUGAACCUGGUUUUGAUUUUACCCCGUAACUCCACAUAUAGGGAUGCUGCUGCGUUAACUACCCGUUUUUAGAUUUCUCCUGAGUGAACACUUGUCGAAUACACUUGAGCUGUAGAAAGUGUUGCUUCUACAAGAUGAAUUAUGUGAUUUUUUUUUUGUUCAUUUUUGCCUGAACAAUAUUGUGAAAAAGACUGAAAUUUUGACUUCACUUUUGAUCUCUGCAGUCAUUAGCAAUCAUCUUGGUUACAGGUGGGAUAAUAAUGUUGCACAAGGGUUUUGUGCAACAUUGAAUUUGGACACAUUUUGAGUCAUUUCCAAAACAUUGUAGGUCAGUUUUGGUGUUUUGGUCUUUUUUUCAGAUUUUGGACUUUUCUGUUAUUUUGGAUGAAUUUGGAAUAAUUCUGAGAACAUUUUGGAAUUUUAGUAACUUUAAAAGUUGUAGAGUUUUCAUCAUUUUUGAGUCCUGUUGAUUAGUUUUGUUCUAUUCUGGACAAUUUCUUUUUUUAAUUUUCCACCUCUGCUCAUUCACAUACUGCGAUUUCUAGCGAUCGUGACUCAUCUCAUUAUCUCCAGUUAAAUUGCACUUUCUUUGAUGCUUUUUAAAGUCACUUGUUACUUGAAAAUGCAUAAGAUUGCACAGAUUUUCCAUUUAGUUGGACCUUUUACAUAGCAAAUGUUGAUAUUUGUAGGGAGGGUGUAAAAUACUCUAGGAAAUAUUUCCACUUUUAUUUGCACUUUUUUGGCUUUUGAAUGAAUGCCAGUCUCAGGCUUUUGAACAAGUGCCUCUUGUCAUGUUAUACUCCUUGUUAUAUUUAUCUCUAAGAAAGAUGUAAAAUUUUACAUCCUCAAUGUUUCCCUGUGGCAUCACAAUGUAUACUGAAUAUCAGUAUUUUUUAAGCUAGAGUGUUAAAGCUAGAAAUUCCACUACUACACCUGAACUAUGACUUACCAUAGACCCAGGCAAUGCUGACAGACUGACUCAAGGAGAGGAGGAGCAAAGUGGUGCCACUGCAGACAUGAUGGUCUAAAAGCUGGAGCAGGUACAUCCCCCCCUACAAAUAAGGACAGUUGUAACAAAAAAAACAAUCAAUACAAAAAUUACUAAUUGCGAGUAACAUAAUUAUAUCUGAACAUUUGUUAGAAAGACCCUGUUUGGCUGGAUUUUCUACAUCUUCAUCAGCGUGAUAACAGAGGGAAGUUGGAGAAAAGAUGCUGAACAUGCACAUAAGCUUGCCUUUAUAUUACUGAUAGAUCUUCGUGUACUAUUAAGGCAGUGUUACAAUUUGGCCCAGUUCCAAGACAAGUCAAAUCAAUCAGUAAAGCCUUUAAUUUAACAGUUUUCUUAUAGACUGUGGCUGUAGACUCAAACUGUGGUCACAGAAAGUUAAAGUUUCCUAAUUUUUAUGCAUUUUAUCCCAUGGUUUUCCAUUAUUCAUUCAUUAGUAUGUAAAAAAGAAAAGAAGCAAAAAACAAGAAAGCAAAUAAUUUUACUAAAUACACUUAUUUGCUUUCUUAAAUUGUUGAGAAUUACAUGAGAACAACAAUGCUAACUAUUGUACUCAGACAAGGAAUAGUUUGGCACACAGUCCCACACUCACACACACCAAAAAAACCCACAAAUUGUUGUGUUAACAUUUCUGUUAACGUUUCUGAUUAAUUUAAUUUCCAUUGUUUGUCUACAUCAUCUUCUUCACCCUGUUUGGAUUAGACUAACUUCAUCUCACUAACCUUUGAAGAAAAUAACAUUAACUAUCUCAUUGCAGUGACGCAUGUCAUUAGGCAGCAAGUAAAGAGUCUGUUCUUGGAGUUGAUGUGUUGGAGGCAGGAAAAUGGUGGGUAUAAGGAUCUCAGUGACUUUGACAAAGGCCAAAUCGUGACAACUGGGUCGCAACUUAUUUAAAGCAGCAGGUCUUGUGUAGUGUUCCAAUAUGCAGUGGUUAGCAGCUUCCAAAAGUGGUCCAAAGAAUGACAACUGGUAAACCUGCAACAAGGUCAUGGGCAUUCAAGGCUCACUAAUACAACAGGGAAUAACAGCUGGCCCUUCAGAUGAGCUACUGUGGUGUAAAUUGAUGAAAAGCUUAAUGCUAGUUGUGAUAGAAAAGUGUCAGAACACAAAGUGUAUAAUAGCUUGGGAUUGCAUAGCCAUCCACUGGUCAGGGCACCCAUGCUAACUGUUGCGCAACAGAAGAAGGUGACCUGGUCUGAUGAAUCCCAUUUUCUUUUGCAUCAUGUGGAUAGCCGGGAGCAUGGUUUACCUGCUGAAGGGAUGGCAACAGGAUGAAGUAUGGGAAGAAGACAAGUCGACAGAGGCAGCCUGUUGUUCUGGGUAACAUUCUGCUGGGAAACCUUGGGUCCUGCCAUUCAUGUACGUGUUGCUUGGACACCUACCAUAACGUUGAUGCAGACCACAUAUACCCCAAACAGUGUUCCCUCGGAGCAGUGGCUUCUUUCAGCAGUAUAAUGCUCCUGGCCACAUCGCCAAAGUCUUUCAGGGAUGGUUUGAGGAACAUGGCAGAGAAUUCAAGGUGUUGACUUGGCCUCCAAAUUCCUCAGAUCUCAUUCUGAUCAAGCAUCUCAGGAAAGGACUGGAAAACCAAGUCCAAUCCAUGGAGGCCACACGUUGCAUCUAACAGAACUUACAGAAGAGGAUCUGCUUCUAACAUCUUGGCACCUGAUACCCAUGAUAACCUUCAAAGGUCUUGAAGAGUCCAUGCUUUGACAGGUCGAAGCUGUUUUGGUGGCACAAGACAAACCUACACGAUAUUAGGUAGGUAGUUUAAAUGUUGUUUCCGAACUGUAUUAUAUAACUAGAAAACUGGUUUGUUUCGCUUUUAAAUGUACGUUAAGGGCUAUUAGGGAAGCAAGCAUUAAGCUGACUGUCUAGUUUGAAGUGUACUGCAAACAAACCUCAGUGACCAGAGAGAGUCCCAGCAAACAGCAGGUACUGCAGAUACCCAGCAGAAGCAGUUCACGUCUAAAGCCUUGACGCAGGUAAGUAGGGAACAGAUCACAAAGGGAAGUCAUCAGACACUCCAGACCAACAAACUGGAAGAAACCCAUUUGAGGGAAGAGAAUUAGUGUUUUAUUCAUUCAUUUAUUCAUUCAUCAAAAGAGACUUACUUAGUACCUCACUAUCCAGUCCAAGCAGAAUGAUCAUGAGGAAGAAACACACUGACCACAACUGAGGCAUGGGCAUCGUGGCUACAGCUCGUGGGUAGACAAUGAACGCCAACCCUGGGCCUGUAAACAUACCCAUAAAAUAUGCAAGUCAGCUGGAGGUUAAUGUUUUAUCUUGCAGUCUGCAGUGCAGUUCAGAUGCGAAUGUCUACAUACAGAGUGAAGAAUACGUACACGUGUGUAUUGGGGUCGCCGGGGGUGUGUGAUGGUGAGUGGAAACGGGACCGAGAUGCCCCGCCUCACUUCAUCCAUCGCUGGAGCCAAAACGGUAAGAAUCAAACCCAUCUUUUAACAAUACAACAAUGCGUGCAAGCAAUGAUUAGAUUUUCUAAUUUUAUAAGUAGAAGCACAGUGGCAAAGUAUUAAUGGCUCCAAUUACUGAGAAAGGGAAGAAAUGAGGGCAUGCAGACCUACCUAGACCUUGAAAGGCCCUUUCCAGAUGUCUUUUUUUUUUUUACAAAUGAAGGUAGAAUAAUGACUCUUUUUGCAUUUUUUUCUUUUGCUGCUGAGAAUUGCAGUUGUCUUGUUGUAUAGCCAUUAUCAGCAAUGAAACAUGAACCAUAUUCAGGAUUUAUUUCAAGCAACAAGUAACCUGUAGCUUUGCACAUAUAAUGAAUGAAUCUAUCUGUCUGUCUGUCUGUCUGUCUGUCUGUCUGUCUGUCUGUCUGUCUGUCUGUCUGUCUGUCUGUCUGUCUGUCUGUCUGUCUGUCUGUCUGUCUAUCUAUCUAUCUAUCUAUCUAUCUAUCUAUCUAUCUAUCCUGGUUGCCAUGUGUUAAGUUAAGGGAGACAAAUUUAUUGCACAUACUUUUUCACAAAACAUUCAGUAAAAAUGAGAACCAUUGUUCUGCAAAUGCUCUUUUUAAAUUCUGAAGUAAUUCAAUCCACCGUGGAGUCGAUGGAGAAUCACAGGACUCUCGGUCUGUUCCAUUAAUGAGAUGAAUUAGUUACAGCUACUUCAUUCGUCAUUUUAUCUAAUCAUGUAUUAUUCCAUACCCUGGAUUGGAGCGAGAAUCUCUAUUUUAGUCAGUCAAAAACCUGCAGCAAGAAGAAGUAAGUUCAAACUAUGACAUGUAAAUGCAAAAUGUGAAUAGAAGAACACACUGUAGGCUUCAACCGUGAAUUAAGGUCCUGAAAUUCAAAUGUAUGUCAAAACAGGCCAUGUUCAUUUUUGUUGUUAUUAAAUGUUAUUAAAGCUUGAAAUAUACACUUAUGG